GGGCGGUUAGCUCAGCGGUAGAGCGCUUCGUUCACACCGAAGAGGUCGCUGGUUCGAGUCCAGCACCGCCCACCA
rnacentral:tRNA from 2 species